rnacentral:rRNA from 1 species
CCUACGGGUGGCAGCAGUGAGGAAUAUUGGUCAAUGGCCGGAAGGCUGAACCAGCCAUGCCGCGUGAAGGUCAGUGCCCUAUGGGCGGUAAACUUCUUUUGUGCGGGAGCAAUAAUGGUCACGUGUGGCCAGACGAGAGUACCGUACGAAUAAGCAUCGGCUAACUCCGUGCCAGCAGCCGCGGUAUUACGGGGGAUGCAAGCGUUAUCCGGAGUUAUUGGGGUUAAAGGGGGCGUAGGAUGUGAGGUAAGUCAGCGGUGAAAUGCCCCCGCUCAACGGGGUGAAGUGCCAUUGAUACUGGCGAACUGGAGUGUGGGAGAGGAUAGUGGAAUUCCAGGUGUAGGAGUGAAAUCCGUAGAUAUCAGGAGGAACAUCAGUGGCGAAGGCGACUAUCUGGCACAUAACUGACGCUGAGGAGCGAAAGCGUGGGUAGCAAACAGGAUUAGAUACCCGAGUAGUC